CGCUUAACACAUGCAAGUCGCACGAGAAAGGGGAGCAAUCCCUGAGUACAGUGGCGUACGGGUGAGUAACACGUGGAUCAUCUACCUUCUAGUGGGGAAUACCUCCGGGAAACUGGAGACAAUACCGCAUAAGCUCGUGAGAGGAAAGCGUCGUCUCAAAAACGACGCGCUGGAAGAGGAGUCCGCGGCUGAUUAUGCUAGUUGGCGGGGUAAAAGCCCACCAAGGCGAAGAUCGGUAGCCGGCCUGAGAGGGCACACGGCCACACUGGCACUGAAACACGGGCCAGACUCCUACGGGAGGCAGCAGUGGGGAAUCUUGCACAAUGGAGGAAACUCUGAUGCAGCGACGCCGCGUGAGCGAUGAAGCCCUUCGGGGUGUAAAGCUC
rnacentral:rRNA from 1 species